CAAUUCAGUGUUCAAUGAACCGGGAAAUGGAGGGAUCGAGAUUUUCGGGAUGCAAUUUAACGGCGGUCCAGAACGUAGAGACCCUACAGCUCCUUGUUUACCCAUUUCAAUUAAAACGGUUUAUCCACCAGUAUAUCCAAUGCUGUUAUCGGGUCUGGAAUUUCCUGAUUGGAAAUCUAACGAGAAAAAAUUCUAUGCCACUAAAUAAAAAUAUAUAUCCACAAUCAUUCAUUUUUAAGUUUCCGUCGAAUUUAUCCUGCAUCGACUGUAUUUUACUUUCAGGUCUUCGACUGUUUUUAAAUUCAUUAAAAAUAUACCUACAAUCAUUUAUCGAUGACUCGGUGGAUACCAUGCAUCCAGGCUUUGAUCUUUUGAUUUUCUGAGAAAAUGCCUUUUUGAUUGAGAUGAACCUAAGCAAAGUUCACCUAGAGUUCCACGGGGCUUCAAGAGAUUUCCUGACAGCGAUAAUAUCUAAAGCUCUCACGAAUCGUUUCCGUUCGCCCCUUAACAAUCCGGAUAUUCAUCUUAUUUCUUUCCACAGUGGCAACAUUGAUUUUACGAGAUCGACUGACUCUCCCCGAUGACUCUCGAUAUCCUGGAUGCGAUAUCGUCGCGGAACUCCUCGCCUCCUUUUGAAGUCACGACGAAACACGAGAACACGAGCGCACGGAUUUCCGUCCCGCCAUAUCUGUAUCGCUUUCUCUCACGGCAGAAGAUCGAGGCAGCAUUUAUAUUCGUAAGACCGAACAAAUACAAGGAAGAAGCCGAAAGGGAAAUCGCCGAAAAAAGAAAAAUUACGCCCGUAAAAAUUUACACUAUAAACAGAGCCGAGGUGGCGGCUACGUUACGGAGGUGAAGCAUCAGCCGGAAGCAUUCAAGAAGUGAAGGAUCGAUACGGAAAAGUCAUUCGGAUACGAGGAUUCUCGUUAGAAUCAUUCAAAGAUUAAAUUGACUAUGUGGGAGUACUAAUAAAAGAUCUUUCGUUAGGUAUACAUAUAUAUACAGAAAAUCUCGACAAGCAUCAAUGUUGAUUGGAAGAUCGUGAACGUUCGAUGAUUUUAUAAUCCUUGAGAUUUAUUGACGGUAUCCAUCUCCCUAUGUGUUACACCUGCGAGAGAAUCAUUACCAUUCUACAUACGGACCUAUAGUGGAUGACUUUACUGACCUCACGUCUUUCUUCUGGCGGUCAGAGAACUAUCAACCUAUUAAUACACAUCGUACAUGAUUCUCGUAAGCAAAUCUACCCUUGCGUCAUGUGCAGAUACUACGUGAUUAUUCAACAUAAAAAAAAUUCAUUGCGCAAUCGCAUUAUCCUCUGGUCUAAACAAGCUUUAUUUUUACAAUCAAAAUAUUUGAUUUUUUCAAAAUUUUUUUUAUAUACAAAUAUUACAUCCUGGAUUGACGGUGCUUAAAAAAUUGGCAAAAAAAAUUUAUACAAAGGGCAAGACUCACGAGCUGCCAACGAAAGCCCUUACAAGCACCGAGCAAUACAUCAUUCAUACGUGACGCACGUGUAAUGCCGAUAAUCAUGUUCGUUGCGUGAGGAAAUAUCUUCACAUUUCUUGUAUGUACACCCAUCCCGCGAAUCGUGACGGAUAGUAAUCUCGGAUAAGCUCCGAGUGUUCUGUUACGCGCGUUUACCUUCGUCGAUAAUUUCCUAGAGUUGCCCAUAAAUAUGUAUGCGUACGAGCCUGAGAUGCAGUUCACAAUAUUCACACUGUAUAUAAACCACACGAGUCGCAAUGCUCGAGUAAAAAACGUGAAAAAAAAUGUUCCGUCCAUCAAAUAAACAUCAGCAAGAUUCGCAGCUGAUGGAUCCGACCACGUGACCUCUUAGCUCCCGUCGAAAGAUCAAGGUGACGUUGAAUUCGGUUAGAUGGCGCCACCGUAGCUCGGGGGAGUUUCGCAAGUAAAACUUUCUGUACUAACGAUCUCGUCGUUUUGUAAUACCCGAGGCUCGAUUAAGUGUACCCGCACUUUUAUUUCCUAUCAGGAAUUAUCAUUUGGUACCAUCGUGGAGUAUAUAUGGUUUUUAAAACGAUCCACGCUCUCGAUACUGCACCUCGAGGUAGGACUGCUUUCACGGCAGUGGAUGCGCAUCUGUUCUCUCCUAUGGCUUUCCGACUCUAUGCAAUUCGAAAUGUAGUUCAAGUCUGACGAUUACCUGCACGAUUACUCGGACGAUUACGCCGGCGCGACUAUUGCGUCUUACGUAAACUUUCUUCGAAUGACUUCAUACGAGUCUUCCAGCAUCCCAUUUAAUUCAUUUCGAUUCUUUUCAUUCUCGGCUCUGCCUCCUCUGUUUCUUCUUGUUCCUCCUAUUCCUAAAGCGAGGGAGUCACUUGGCGUAUCUCCGAUACACAUCUGUGCGGCGACCGCAGGGGUCACAUCUCCGCCGAUUAUAAUUGUCCAGGAAAAUUACUUCACGAAUCGCGGAAGCUUGCGUAACUUUCGUGCUUGCGUCUUCGGCCGAAGUUAUAUGCACAUACUUCGAUGUAACGCUAGUCCAUUGCAGGCUAUUAAGUUCUGCUACGAAUAUAGUUUUAUUUACACCCCUUGUAUAUUACUCUUGAAUUAAAUAAAUAUCAUUACGAA